UACGUAGGGUGCGAGCGUUAAUCGGAAUUACUGGGCGUAAAGCGUGCGCAGGCGGUUUUGUAAGCCAGAUGUGAAAUCCCCGGGCUUAACCUGGGAAUGGCAUUUGGGACUGCAAGGCUCGAGUGCGGCAGAGGAGACUGGAAUUCCUGGUGUAGCAGUGAAAUGCGUAGAUAUCAGGAGGAAUACCGAUGGCGAAGGCAGGUCUCUGGGCUGACACUGACGCUCAUGCACGAAAGCGUGGGGA
rnacentral:rRNA from 1 species